UACGAAGGGGGCUAGCCUUGCUCGGAAUCACUGGGCGUAAAGGGUGCGUAGGCGGGUUAUUAAGUCAGAGGUGAAAUCCUGGAGCUCAACUCCAGAACUGCCUUUGAUACUGAUAGUCUUGAGUAUGGGAGAGGUGAGUGGAACUGCGAGUGUAGAGGUGAAAUUCGUAGAUAUUCGCAAGAACACCAGUGGCGAAGGCGGCUCACUGGCCCAUAACUGACGCUGAGGCACGAAAGCGUGGGGAGCAAACAGG
rnacentral:rRNA from 1 species